rnacentral:rRNA from 1 species
CCCUUAGAUGUUCUGGGCCGCACGCGCGCUACACUGAUGAAUUCAACGAGCACUAACCUGUGCCGAAAGGUUCGGGUAAUCUUGUGAAAUUUCAUCGUGAUGGGGAUUGAUUAUUGCAAUUUUUAAUCAUAAACGAGGAAUGCCUAGUAAACGUGAGUCAUCAGCUCACGUUGAUUACGUCCCUGCCCUUUGUACACACCGCCCGUCGCUCCUACCGAUUGAAUGUGCCAGUGAAAAGUUCGGAUUGGAGAUAGGAAACGGCAACGUAUCCUAUUUCCGAGAAAAUCUUUAAACUUUCCCAUUUAGAGGAAGGAGAAGUCGUAGCA